CUACGGGAUGCAGCAGACGAGAAUAUUCGUCAAUGCGCGAAAGCGUGAACGAGCGACGCCGCGUGCAGGAUGAAGGCUUUCGGGUCGUAAACUGCUUUUCUUUGGGAAGAAUUUCGAUGACGGUACCAAAGGAAUAAGAGGUUACUAACUCUGUGCCAGCAGUAGCGGUAAUACAGAGACCUCAAGCGUUAUCCGGAUUCAUUGGGCGUAAAGCGUGGGUAGGCGGUUUUGUUAGUCAGAUGUCAAAUCCUCCGGCUCAACCGGGGAACCGCAUCUGAAACGGCAAGACUUGAGAGUGUGAGGGAUCGGUGGAAUUCACGGUGUAGUAGUGAAAUGCGUUGAUAUCGUGAAGAACACCCAAGGCGAAGGCAGCCGAUUGGCGCACUUCUGACGCUGAGCCGCGAAAGCGUGGGUAGCGAAUGGGAUUAGAUACCCUAGUAGUC
rnacentral:rRNA from 1 species